GAGGGUAUAGCCCAGUGGUAGAGUGCGUGCUUAGCAUCCACGAGGUCCCGGGUUCAAUCCCCAGUGCCUCCC
rnacentral:tRNA from 1 species